UACGGAGGAUCCAAGCGUUAUCCGGAUUUAUUGGGCUUAAAGGGUGCGUAGGCGGCCUAUUAAGUCAGGGGUGAAAGACGGUGGCUCAACCAUCGCAGUGCCUUUGAUACUGAUAGGCUUGAUUACGCUAGAGGUAGGCGGAAUGUGACAAGUAGCGGUGAAAUGCAUAGAUAUGUGACAGAACACCAGUUGCGAAGGCAGCUUACUGGGGUGUCAAUGACGCUGAGGCACGAAAGCGUGGGGAUCAAACAGG
rnacentral:rRNA from 1 species